GACGAACGCUGGCGGCGUGCUUAACACAUGCAAGUCGAACGGAAAGGCCCUGCUUUUGUGGGGUGCUCGAGUGGCGAACGGGUGAGUAACACGUGAGUAACCUGCCCUUGACUUUGGGAUAACUUCAGGAAACUGGGGCUAAUACCGGAUAGGAGCUCCUGCUGCAUGGUGGGGGUUGGAAAGUUUCGGCGGUUGGGGAUGGACUCGCGGCUUAUCAGCUUGUUGGUGGGGUAGUGGCUUACCAAGGCUUUGACGGGUAGCUGGCCUGAGAGGGUGACCGGCCACAUUGGGACUGAGAUACGGCCCAGACUCCUACGGGAGGCAGCAGUGGGGAAUAUUGCACAAUGGGCGGAAGCCUGAUGCAGCAACGCCGCGUGCGGGAUGACGGCCUUCGGGUUGUAAACCGCUUUCGCCUGUGACGAAGCGUGAGUGACGGUAAUGGGUAAAGAAGUACCGGCUAACUACGUG
rnacentral:rRNA from 1 species